UGCUCCCCCACCCCGGGGUGCUCCCCCCGUUCCCCCCCGGGCUGGACAAGAAGGCGGCCAAGAAGAUGAAGAAGAGGAUGAAGAAGGCUCACAAGAGGCACAAGCGCUCUUCGUCCUCCUCCUCCUCCUCCUCCAGCAGCUCCGACUGAGGCUCCUGGGACCCCCCAGGACCCCGCGGCAUCACCUGGGACCACCGGGAGCCACCCGAGACCUCGUGGGACCCUUGUGACCACCCGGGACAGCCCCGGACCCCCCUCCUGUCCCCACGGCCCCGACGCCCUGCUCCCGGGGGGUGCCGGGGUGUCCCUGCUGUCCCCCAAUAAACUCUGGGACACCCCAA